ensembl:rRNA 5S_rRNA 5S ribosomal RNA
GCUUACGGCCAUACCUCUCUGGCUCCGCCUGAUCUCGUCUGAUCUCAGAAGCUAAGCAGAGUAGGGCCCUGGCUAGUACGUGAGAUGGGAGCACCGCCUGUGAGUCCCCAGCGUGCUCUAAAGCU